rnacentral:misc_RNA from 1 species
UCCCCCGUGAGGGGGCAGUCUCGCCUGACUAGUAAAACAGGCAACGCGGGUUGCGUUCGUUACCCCACUGAAGGGAACAACUCAAGCCACGAACUGACGACGACCAUGCAUCACCUGCCCAGCUGCCUUUCGGAGAGGUAGUUUCCUACCCUGUCAUCUGGGUUUCAAACCCUGGUGAGGUUCUUCGUUUACCGACGAAUUGAGCCACAUAAUCCACCGCUUGUGCAAGUCCCCGUCUAUUCCUUUGAGUUUUAAUCUUGCGAUCGUACUACCCAGGCGCACAACUUAACGCGUUAGCUUCGCCACAAAGAGGGUCGAUACUCCUUAUAGCCAGUUGCGAUCGUUUAGGGCGUGGACUA